CCCUUAGAUGUUCUGGGCCGCGCGCGCGCUACACUGAUACGUUCAGCGAGUAUAUAACCUUGAUUGGAAAAUCUGGGUAAUCUUUUGAAUGCGUAUCGUGCUAGGGAUAGAUUAUUGCAAUUAUUAAUCUUGAACGAGGAAUUCCUAGUAAACGCAAGUCAUCAGCUUGCAUUGAUUACGUCCCUGCCCUUUGUACACACCGCCUGUCGCACAAACCGAUUGAAUGAUUCGGUGAAAAUUUUGGACAUCGAGAGUGGUGAUUAAUUUCGCUGCUCUUAAAUGGAAAGAAUUUAAACCUAAUUAUUUAGAGGAUUGUGAAGUCAUAACA
rnacentral:rRNA from 1 species